UUGGGCGCCCUAUUCUGCAUAAAACUUUACAGCCACAGCCUCCAGCCCUCCACCCCUCAGAAGACGCCGCAACCUCCUCUCACUCUCUCAGAUCUAGCUCCACCGCCACAGCCGCCGACACCACAACCGCCGCUGAUUGCUUUGUGGUAUCUGCCGAUCCGACGCCACCGUUGACGCUGCGUUGCCACCGCCUCCCCUGCGAUUACGCCACAACCACCCUUCACCCGCUUGCCUGAAGGUUGAUGAUGGCGCAGUGGUGCUUAUGGACCACGUGCCCACCUCCCUCCUCCAAUCUAUUGUCUGACGGCCCCGACGAUACAAUUUGGAACCUUUGCUUUAUUCCUCAAAAUGUGAGCAGGUUGUGCAAAUACAUGAAAAGUAUAAGGAAAUGGAAGGUCAAAGGAGGUAGAAAGAAUCUCGUCAAGAAAAGCUUUCUAAAGCUCUAAACGAUCUCAGAGAUGCCGAAUUAGAGUUUGCAAAUUUGCCUACUUCUGAACAUCCCAAAAAUGAACUUAUUAAGGGAACGGGAGAACAUGAACAGCAAAUGCUUACAUGAAUUGCGGAACUCUGGAGCUGAAAAGAUUUUUGAGGCUUAUUGUUAGGUGGAGGAAUAUCGUAAUGAGUUCAAUAAAGAUGUCUAUGGUCCAGUUGCGAUUUAGAUAAACAUUUCCAGUACAACCCAUGCAAAUUAUCUUGAGGGUCAUAUUCCAUUUUAUGCAUGGAAGAAUAAUGAUGUUGUCAAAGAAACUGACUGAUAUGGAUAAACGCAUGUCAUAUGACCCUUCUUACCUUGCAAAGGUUUACACUUGAUCAACUUCAUUGAAGGAGGUUGUGGAUGCUGCAUUGAUCAAAGCCAUUGAAGCAGUGCCGGAUUUGAAGGCUUAUUUGGGUGCAACGAGCAUACUUAUGUAGUAUCAAAUAAGUAUGUUUUCAUACUUAAGUAGUACGGAGU